AUCUGGCUGGGCAGGGGGGGGAGGGGAGCCAUGUGGCCGGAGAGAGAGAGACUGCGUUCUAGGGGGAGGCGAUGGCUCAGAGCCAAGAGAGUGCAGUGAUGUGGAGGAGUGAACAGAGAUGAUGGGUGAGGAGGGUGGUGGUGGUGCCCUCCGCUUCGAAGAAGAGAAGAAGAAGAAGACGAUCUCUGUUCAAGAGACCCCUCGGCCCCAGAGGGUGAAAUUUGGGGGGGACAGGUGGCCCAAAAGGAGAAGGACUGUGCUCCCUUUGGAACUGGUCAAAGUAUCCUUAAAAAGAAAAACCCUAGAAGCAGCUCUGAUCCAUGUGCAGUGGUGAGAGCACUGGACAUGGAAGUCAUGUGGCGCAAGAGAGACUCCUCUCUUCUCGAGAGACUGAGAAUCGAUUAUCUGAAGGGUGGCAGUGGAAUUGGGAAUUUGGUGGGGGGAGGAGGAAGAAUUUGGAAGGUUUUCAUCUUAUGUUCUAUUGUGUUUUGUGUGUCUUCCUUUGUAGUUGUAGGUUAAUAAAUGUUUUUUUUCCUUUUAACCUUAA